rnacentral:lncRNA from 1 species
UCUUUACCCAAGAUAGCUUAACAGGCUGCAAUCUCCUUGCUCCGACACGUAAGCUCACAUAAUUCGCAGACGCCGUCAAAGAAACCACAUUACCAGAAGUGCGAAAAUCAUCUGCAAGGUGUUUGUUGAAAUGCUACAACCGGCGUGUCAUAGACGCCAUCAAAGAAACCACAUUACCAGAAGUGCGAAAAUCAUCUGCAAGGUGUUUGUUGAAAUGCUACAACUGGCGUGUCAUAGAGAAAGACGAGGAAAAAGAUAGAUACCUUGAAAGCAAAUGAGGGGUUUGGGAGGAUUGGGCUUUUGGUACAGCGAACGGAUUGGUGUUGCAUGCGAG